GGAAGAAGGGCUCUUAUGAAGAGCUGAGGGAAACCAAUGUAUUCUGGUAUUUGUAGUGCUGAGCAACUGCUGAACCAAGAAGUACAACCAAGAAAGACAGGAACAACACUCCCCACAACAAUUGGAAUUUUAGUGUGUUUUUUAGAAGUCAGACAGGCAAGAGUCAAGGGGGAGAGGCUAGGCUGCCAUAGGCUGACACGCCUCCUCCCUCAUCCCUCCACCCAACUCCCUUAUUAACAGAACCAUGCACUUGAAUUAAAGAGGGGCUUGGUGGUGAGGAUAUGCAAUAAAGGACCCAAAGCUGAAGACAACCCCAGCAGAAGGCAACCCCAGCAGAAGGCAACCCCAGCAGAAGGCAACCCCAGCAGAAGGCAACCCCAGCAGAAGGCAACCCCAGCAGAAGGCAACCCCAGCAGAAGGCAACCCCAGCAGAAGGCAACCCCAGCAGAAGGCAACCCCAGCAGAAGGCAACCCCAGCAGAAGGCAACCCCAGCAGAAGGCAACCCCAGCAGAAGGCAACCCCAGCAGAAGACAACCCCAGCAGAAGACAACCCCAGCAGAAGACAACCCCAGCAGAAGACAACCCCAGCAGAAGACAACCCCAGCAGAAGACAACCCUAGCAGAAGACAACCCUAGCAGAAGACAACCCUAGCAGAAGAUAACCCUAGCAGAAGAUAACCCUAGCAGAAGAUAACCCUAGCAGAAGACAACCCUAUUUAGAGCCAAUCACUUGUCACAAGGGUAUAAUUAAAUGGAGCUGAUGGUGGUUGCCAAACUUUAUUUC